rnacentral:rRNA from 1 species
ACACUAUCAUUAACUGAAUCCAUAGGUUAAUGAGGCGAACCGGGGGAACUGAAACAUCUAAGUACCCCGAGGAAAAGAAAUCAACCGAGAUUCCCCCAGUAGCGGCGAGCGAACGGGGAGGAGCCCAGAGCCUGAAUCAGUGUGUGUGUUAGUGGAAGCGUCUGGAAAGGCGCGCGAUACAGGGUGACAGCCCCGUACACAAAAAUGCACAUACUGUGAGCUCGAUGAGUAGGGCGGGACACGUGGUAUCCUGUCUGAAUAUGGGGGGACCAUCCUCCAAGGCUAAAUACUCCUGACUGACCGAUAGUGAACCAGUACCGUGAGGGAAAGGCGAAAAGAACCCCGGCGAGGGGAGUGAAAAAGAACCUGAAACCGUGUACGUACAAGCAGUGGGAGCCUCUUUAUGGGGUGACUGCGUACCUUUUGUAUAAUGGGUCAGCGACUUAUAUUCUGUAGCAAGGUUAACCGAAUAGGGGAGCCGAAGGGAAACCGAGUCUUAACUGGGCGUUAAGUUGCAGGGUAUAGACCCGAAACCCGGUGAUCUAGCCAUGGGCAGGUUGAAGGUUGGGUAACACUAACUGGAGGACCGAACCGACUAAUGUUGAAAAAUUAGCGGAUGACUUGUGGCUGGGGGUGAAAGGCCAAUCAAACCGGGAGAUAGCUGGUUCUCCCCGAAAGCUAUUUAGGUAGCGCCUCGUGAAUUCAUCUCCGGGGGUAGAGCACUGUUUCGGCAAGGGGGUCAUCCCGACUUACCAACCCGAUGCAAACUGCGAAUACCGGAGAAUGUUAUCACGGGAGACACACGGCGGGUGCUAACGUCCGUCGUGAAGAGGGAAACAACCCAGACCGCCAGCUAAGGUCCCAAAGUCAUGGUUAAGUGGGAAACGAUGUGGGAAGGCCCAGACAGCCAGGAUGUUGGCUUAGAAGCAGCCAUCAUUUAAAGAAAGCGUAAUAGCUCACUGGUCGAGUCGGCCUGCGCGGAAGAUGUAACGGGGCUAAACCAUGCACCGAAGCUGCGGCAGCGACACUAUGUGUUGUUGGGUAGGGGAGCGUUCUGUAAGCCUGCGAAGGUGUACUGUGAGGUAUGCUGGAGGUAUCAGAAGUGCGAAUGCUGACAUAAGUAACGAUAAAGCGGGUGAAAAGCCCGCUCGCCGGAAGACCAAGGGUUCCUGUCCAACGUUAAUCGGGGCAGGGUGAGUCGACCCCUAAGGCGAGGCCGAAAGGCGUAGUCGAUGGGAAACAGGUUAAUAUUCCUGUACUUGGUGUUACUGCGAAGGGGGGACGGAGAAGGCUAUGUUGGCCGGGCGACGGUUGUCCCGGUUUAAGCGUGUAGGCUGGUUUUCCAGGCAAAUCCGGAAAAUCAAGGCUGAGGCGUGAUGACGAGGCACUACGGUGCUGAAGCAACAAAUGCCCUGCUUCCAGGAAAAGCCUCUAAGCAUCAGGUAACAUCAAAUCGUACCCCAAACCGACACAGGUGGUCAGGUAGAGAAUACCAAGGCGCUUGAGAGAACUCGGGUGAAGGAACUAGGCAAAAUGGUGCCGUAACUUCGGGAGAAGGCACGCUGAUAUGUAGGUGAAGUCCCUCGCGGAUGGAGCUGAAAUCAGUCGAAGAUACCAGCUGGCUGCAACUGUUUAUUAAAAACACAGCACUGUGCAAACACGAAAGUGGACGUAUACGGUGUGACGCCUGCCCGGUGCCGGAAGGUUAAUUGAUGGGGUUAGCGCAAGCGAAGCUCUUGAUCGAAGCCCCGGUAAACGGCGGCCGUAACUAUAACGGUCCUAAGGUAGCGAAAUUCCUUGUCGGGUAAGUUCCGACCUGCACGAAUGGCGUAAUGAUGGCCAGGCUGUCUCCACCCGAGACUCAGUGAAAUUGAACUCGCUGUGAAGAUGCAGUGUACCCGCGGCAAGACGGAAAGACCCCGUGAACCUUUACUAUAGCUUGACACUGAACAUUGAGCCUUGAUGUGUAGGAUAGGUGGGAGGCUUUGAAGUGUGGACGCCAGUCUGCAUGGAGCCGACCUUGAAAUACCACCCUUUAAUGUUUGAUGUUCUAACGUUGGCCCGUAAUCCGGGUUGCGGACAGUGUCUGGUGGGUAGUUUGACUGGGGCGGUCUCCUCCUAAAGAGUAACGGAGGAGCACGAAGGUUGGCUAAUCCUGGUCGGACAUCAGGAGGUUAGUGCAAUGGCAUAAGCCAGCUUGACUGCGAGCGUGACGGCGCGAGCAGGUGCGAAAGCAGGUCAUAGUGAUCCGGUGGUUCUGAAUGGAAGGGCCAUCGCUCAACGGAUAAAAGGUACUCCGGGGAUAACAGGCUGAUACCGCCCAAGAGUUCAUAUCGACGGCGGUGUUUGGCACCUCGAUGUCGGCUCAUCACAUCCUGGGGCUGAAGUAGGUCCCAAGGGUAUGGCUGUUCGCCAUUUAAAGUGGUACGCGAGCUGGGUUUAGAACGUCGUGAGACAGUUCGGUCCCUAUCUGCCGUGGGCGCUGGAGAACUGAGGGGGGCUGCUCCUAGUACGAGAGGACCGGAGUGGACGCAUCACUGGUGUUCGGGUUGUCAUGCCAAUGGCACUGCCCGGUAGCUAAAUGCGGAAGAGAUAAGUGCUGAAAGCAUCUAAGCACGAAACUUGCCCCGAGAUGAGUUCUCCCUGACUCC